rnacentral:rRNA from 1 species
CCUACGGGUGGCAGCAGUGGGGAAUAUUGGGCAAUGGGCGCAAGCCUGACCCAGCAACGCCGCGUGAAGGAAGAAGGCUUUCGGGUUGUAAACUUCUUUUCUCAGGGACGAAGCAAGUGACGGUACCUGAGGAAAAAGCCACGGCUAACUACGUGCCAGCAGCCGCGGUAAUACGUAGGUGGCAAGCGUUAUCCGGAUUUACUGGGUGUAAAGGGCGUGUAGGCGGGAAAGUAAGUCAGAUGUGAAAACCAUGGGCUCAACCUGUGGACUGCAUUUGAAACUGUUUUUCUUGAGUACUGGGGAGGCAGACGGAAUUCCUAGUGUAGCGGUGAGAUGCGUAGAUAUUAGGAGGAACACCAGUGGCGAAGGCGGUCUGCUGGACAGCAACUGACGCUGAGGCGCGAAAGCGUGGGGAGCAAACAGGAUUAGAUACCCUUGUAGUC